rnacentral:rRNA from 1 species
GACGAACGCUGGCGGCGUGCUUAACACAUGCAAGUCGAACGGAAAGGCCCUGCUUGCAGGGUACUCUAGUGGCGAACGGGUGAGUAACACGUGGGUGAUCUGCCCUGCACUUCGGGAUAAGCCUGGGAAACUGGGUCUAAUACCGGAUAGGAGCCAUUUUUAGUGUGAUGGUUGGAAAGUUUUUUCGGUGUAGGAUGAGCUCGCGGCCUAUCAGCUUGUUGGUGGGGUAAUGGCCUACCAAGGCGGCGACGGGUAGCCGGCCUGAGAGGGUGGACGGCCACAUUGGGACUGAGAUACGGCCCAGACUCCUACGGGAGGCAGCAGUGGGGAAUAUUGCACAAUGGGGGCAAGCCUGAUGCAGCGACGCCGCGUGGGGGAUGACGGCCUUCGGGUUGUAAACUCCUUUCGCUAGGGACGAAGCUUUUUGUGACGGUACCUAGAUAAGAAGCACCGGCUAACUACGUG